GUCUGCAUCAUAGCUCGGUUUGUAGAGUAUGAGACUCCUAAUCUCAAGGUCAUGGGUUCAAGCCCCAUGCUGAACA